UACGUAGGCAGCAAGCGUUGUUCGGAGUUACUGGGCGUAAAGGGUGUGUAGGCGGUCCCUUAAGUUUGUUGUGAAAUCUCCCGGCUCAACUGGGAGGGUGCGGCGAAUACUGAGGGGCUAGAGUGCGGGAGAGGAAAGUGGAAUUCCUGGUGUAGCGGUGAAAUGCGUAGAUAUCAGGAGGAACACCGGUGGUGUAAACGGCUUUCUGGACCGUAACUGACGCUGAGACACGAAAGCGUGGGUAGCAAACAGG
rnacentral:rRNA from 1 species